rnacentral:rRNA from 1 species
CUCGUAGGUGGCCAACUAAGUCAGACGUGAAAUCCCUCGGCUUAACCGGGGAACUGCGUCUGAUACUGGAUGGCUUGAGGUUGGGAGAGGGAUGCGGAAUUCCAGGUGUAGCGGUGAAAUGCGUAGAUAUCUGGAGGAACACCGGUGGCGAAGGCGGCAUCCUGGACCAAUUCUGACGCUGAGGAGCGAAAAGCGAGGGGAGACGAAACGGG